AACAAACGCUGGCGGCGUGCCUAAUACAUGCAAGUCGAACGGGGAAAGUAGCAAUAUGCGUACUAGUGGCGCACGGGUGAGUAACGCGUGGAUAAUCUGCCUUGAAGAGGGGGAUAACUAGUCGAAAGAUUAGCUAAUACCGCAUAAGACCACAAGAACUGAGGUUCAAGGGGUCAAAGGUUUUUCGCUUCAAGAUGAGUCCGCGUAAGAUUAGCUAGUUGGUGAGGUAAUGGCUCACCAAGGCAACGAUCUUUAACUGGUCUGAGAGGAUGAUCAGUCACACUGGAACUGAGACACGGUCCAGGCUCCUACGGGAGGCAGCAGUAGAGAAUAUUGCACAAUGGAGGAAACUCUGAUGCAGCGACGCCGCGUGAGUGAUGAAGGCCUUCGGGUCGUAAAGCUCUGUCGCAGGGGAAUAACACAAUGAAUGUACCCUGUAAGAAAGGAUCGGCUAACUUCGUG
rnacentral:rRNA from 1 species